ensembl:snoRNA
AUUGAGGUCUAUCCCGAUUGGGCCUUUUCUGUAGAUCCACAUCGUUGGAAACGCCUCAAAGAGUAACUAUGUGGCUUCGCUUUACUCACAGAACUAUUUAUUAGCUCUGUGGGAAGGAACUACAAGACAGCA